UGAAGAAAAAAAACAAACAAACAGAGCUUUCAAUAUUCAGUCUUUAACCUAAUUCAUAAAAUUAGGGUUUCGAAAAUCAUUGCUACACAAAGUCAUCAGAGAGAAACCAGUAAUCAUUCAUAGAUAUUAGGGUUUAAGAAGAAUUUCUUGAUACAUUAAAAUUUCAAGAUGCAAUCUUUAACUAAGAGAUUUGUGAAGAGAAUUGAAGAGAGGAGACAAUAAAAUCGAUGUCAGAAGAAAAUAUUGAUCAUGAUUUGGCUGUAGAAGAUAAGAUAUGGAAUUUGAAGACUAUAAAGUUUCUUAAAUACGAAGAAUUGGAGCAUCUCAAUGACCUUUCAAUGGGUUCAGCUUAUGCAUCAAAACUCCUAGAGAAAGGAACCAGUUUUUUUGAGAAAGGUGUACUUGCAUUUAGAAUAAGUGAAUCUUUGAGGAAGAGCAAGGAGAAGAAAGGGUAUAAACCACAUCAGAAGAAACCUCGCUCAAAUUUAUGGAUUCAAUUUUAUUCAGGUACAUUAGUUAAAUGUAUCGUUGAUUUUAACAAUUUUGUUCAAAACUAUUUGGAUUUUCUUCAAGAAAAGAAAUUUGUGAAUUGUGUAAGAAGGGAUUUCAUGAAAAAACCCUUAAAUUUGUUUCCUGAAGUUGAAAUUCCCUUGCCAAUAAUCAAUCAUGAUUCUUGCGAGAAGGAAUCGAAGGAGUUUUGUAAUUGGUGUUUGGAAAAUAUGGCUUCAAUGAAGUUCAAACUUGCAGAAAUAGGACAUUUGUUGGGAGUACUAAUGAAGACCCUUGAUGAAGAAUGUGGUAAAGUUGAGAAAUCUUAUGGAAGUAUGGAUAAAUUAAUUCUUAAUGCUGCUGAUUUUCAAGAGUUUGAAGCAAUAUUGAAGGGGAAGAGAACCAGUUUCUUUGAAAUUGUACUGGAAGGUGAGCAUGAUGAUCAGAGGAAAGAAGAAGUUGAAGAAGAUGAUGAUGAAUCCAACCCUUUCAAAAGACCCAAAGUGUUCUACCAAUUUAUGUAAGAAAUUUGAAGUUUGGGUUUUUCAUCAGAAUUCAUAGAUCACCAAAUUCAGUUUUUAGUCUUUUUUUCAUUAGUAUUACUAGCUCAGUGAUCAAAUUGAGUUGUAAAGAAGAUUCUCGAGUACAUAUACGUUGCAAAGAGAUUUGGUUUUUAUUGUGGAUUGGUGGUUAACAGUAAUUAAGAUUGCCAAUUUUUGUACUUCUCAAUUUCAGUAUUCUUAUGCAAUCCCCAAUCACUAUUUCUCUGGUUUAUGAGUAUGGUUUUGUGCAUUCUAUUCUCCCAUGUAGAAUACUUCAUAUGCACAAAUAUAGUAGGUUGUAUUCAGUAAUUCAAGUCUUUUGCAGUAGCAAAAGAAGGUUUUCUUUUUUGUUUUCUUUCAAUGGGGGCAAAUGCCCCUCUUGGAUAUGAUGAGAGCUUAGUGGGUUUUAAGUAAUUUGUGCCCCCUGAGGGUUUAGAGUAUCAGCUUGUGGUGGUGGGUGAGCAAUUUUUUGUUGGGGUAGAGGCAUUUGCCCCUCCUGACAUGAGUUUGAUAUGAGGGUUUGGAAUUUCUCAAAGGAGGGUACUUCAUUCCGAGUAGUUGAAUUUGAUGAUCCCUCAGGUUACUGAAGAGAUUGUUCUCAGUGUUCCCAACAGUUUUAUCACUUGCUCAUGCAUUCUCUCUUCUGAAUUGGGUUUUUGUGAGAAUAAUGCUCCUGAAAAAUCAGCCAUUAGGCAUCUUGUUGUCGAUCGUAGCUUUGCCUGGUGGUGAAUCUAAACUUAAAUUCUGGUGUGCCAUUCAAGGAUUAUCAUGCAGCUUGGAUUUCAGGUGCAGGUGAAAUCAAAGGAGCUAGAGCAUGCAGGGACAAAGUUGCAUGCCUAAACAAGGCAGAAACUCUUAACUUAAUGUACUGCAAGGAGCUUUGUGGGCUAAAGAUUCUUUUUGCGUGGACGGAAAUUGCAGAAGAAUACUAGAACAUGUCAAAGGGAAUCAAAGUCUUGUUACAUAACAAAAUCAAUUCUGUUGGAAGUUACUACUAUUAGGGCAGACUGUCUUCUGAUAGAGGCAACCAACAAGGCACCCCAAAAUAAUUGGGCACCGUGUUAAGUAUGGAACUGCACGCAGUCGGUGGUCCUAAGAGAUUUCCUCACGACCUUGCUACAACUGGGAUAGCAGGGGCUGGUCCAGAUUUGGGACGCGAUGUGACACUACUAUCUGAAAGGUGAAGAGUUGGGAUUGGUAGCGGGGUGGAGAUGAGAAUGAUUAAAGGUCUGGAUUGAUUGUCCCAGAUUUGACCCAUAACAAUUGUCCCAGUUUUAGCAUUUUCCAAUUCCUCAUCUAACUAGUACUGUACUUCCUACGAAUAUAUAAGAGAACCGCUGUGUACACUUCCAUUCA